rnacentral:rRNA from 1 species
AUGAUUUGGUCCAAUUUUGCUUUAAAUUUGACCCGCUUCAAGCUGAAUCGACGGAAAUUUGUCUUUUUCACCAGAGGCGAUUCCAGCAUGCUGGUCGUCGGCUCCGCGGACACCUUCGAGGACAUCCAUGCCAAGGUGCAAGUGGAGAAGCUCCCCGCCGUCUUCUACUACACGGCUGUCUGGUGUGGGUCGUGUCCGGCGAUGGCACCUGUGAUCGAGAAGAUGAGCAGGCAGUACCCCAAGAUACCCGUGUACAAGGUGGACAUCGACAUGCUAGCAGGAGCAAUUCUCUUGCUGGUAUGCAUGUAUGCCUGUGCUUUGGUCUUACUGCAUGUGAGCUCGGUUUAUGCACUAGCAGAAAUCGUCAAUGUUUGCUACUGGAAAAUCAAUUUGCAUUAA